rnacentral:lncRNA from 1 species
AGCUGACAGGCUCCGAGGGGGAGCACUGGCCAGGCUGGGGCUCUGGGACCCCGCAGCCUUGCCUCUGCCCCUGUGGGAAGUGGGAGGCGAGGCCGGGGUGAGGGGAGGGUAGCUCCCAGCCCGAAGCCUUCAGGGGCAUUCCUUUCCUUGGGGGGCAGAGGUGUCCCGGCACAGUCCUAGGGCUCCCCCUGGCCCAGGCCAGCUGACAGGCUCCGAGGGGGAGCACUGGCCAGGCUGGGGCUCUGGGACCCCGCAGCCUUGCCUCUGCCCCUGUGGGAAGUGCCGGCUCUGAUGGGAGCCUGCCCCGCAGGGCUUGGCUUCCUGAGGCGGUUGGUGCCAGAACGGUCUCCUGGCCUCAGACCUGUGGUAGAGCUUGACAGCUCUUCUCCAGAAUCCUCUGUCUGAGGCCCGCGGAGCUGGGACAGGAUGGAAAACCCGUUCUGGGAGGGGGCUCCGGACCACCAGGACAAAACCUGACAGAGAAACCACCUUUCUAGGUCUUACUGCGCCAUUAGCCCGGGGGGGGGGGGCUGCUUUGGCCUCGGCAGCAGCGAGAUCCCUGUUGGCGGGGGUGCAGGCGAGGGAAUCUCAGCUUUAUCUCCCUUUCCUACAAGCAGUCUCAGUUUGUGGACCAACUUUCUUCCUGGGGAAGAACUGAGAGCAGCCUGCGGCCCCCUGCUCAACAGAUGGAGCCCGGGUCCCACGCUUGCCAGGAAUCGAACGUUCCCCGGGCGGUUGCAUGUGGCUGGCUGGUGUAUUUCCACCUCCACUGUCCAGAUGAGGAAACUGAGGCUUCGGAGAGGUUAGCAUCCGGCUCAGGCACACCAGUGAUCGGGGAUCACAUUGUUCUGGGGAGUCCGGGCCUCCUUCCUAUCCAGGGCCGGGAUGCUAGAGUACAGUGACUCCCAGCUCCUUCUCCUAGUUCUGUAUGGAGCCUUGAGCCGAAAGCCUCUGCGGAUGAAUCAGCAUCCAGAAGAGUGGUUCUCAACUACACACUCGGAUCACCUGGAGCAAAGCGGGCAGAUUCAUACAAGGGAGCUGCAAGCAGAAGGCUCAGAACUCAGUCAGAACUCGGUAGAUCUCAACCUGGCCCGAGAGCUGAGUUUAUAUCCCUUCGUCUUGCAUGCCCUCUGA